GACGAACGCUGGCGGCGUGCUUAACACAUGCAAGUCGAGCGAUGAAGCACCUUCGGGUGUGAAUUAGCGGCGAACGGGUGAGGAACACGUGAGAAAUCUGCCUUCAACACUGGGAUAACUCCGGGAAACCGGGGCUAAUACCGGAUAUGAAACCUGCGGGCAUCCGCGGGUUUGGAAAGUUUUCGGUUGAAGAUGAUCUCGCGGCCUAUCAGCUUGUUGGUGAGGUAAUGGCUCACCAAGGCGACGACGGGUAGCCGGCCUGAGAGGGCGACCGGCCACACUGGGACUGAGACACGGCCCAGACUCCUACGGGAGGCAGCAGUGGGGAAUUUUGGACAAUGGGGGCAACCCUGAUCCAGCAAUGCCGCGUGAGUGAAGAAGGCCUUCGGGUUGGUAAAGACGUCUUUGUUCAGGGAAGAAACGGUAGGGGCGUAAUAUCCUCUGCUAAUGACGGUACCGU
rnacentral:rRNA from 1 species